GACGAACGCUGGCGGCGUGCUUAACACAUGCAAGUCGAACGGUAAGGCCCUUCGGGGUACACGAGUGGCGAACGGGUGAGUAACACGUGGGUGAUCUGCCCUGCACUCUGGGAUAAGCCUGGGAAACUGGGUCUAAUACCGGAUAUGAGCUCCUGUCGCAUGGCGGGGGUUGGAAAGGUUUACUGGUGCAGGAUGGGCCCGCGGCCUAUCAGCUUGUUGGUGGGGUAAUGGCCUACCAAGGCGACGACGGGUAGCCGGCCUGAGAGGGCGACCGGCCACACUGGGACUGAGACACGGCCCAGACUCCUACGGGAGGCAGCAGUGGGGAAUAUUGCACAAUGGGCGAAAGCCUGAUGCAGCGACGCCGCGUGAGGGAUGACGGCCUUCGGGUUGUAAACCUCUUUCAGCAGGGACGAAGCGAGAGUGACGGUACCUGCAGAAGAAGCACCGGCCAACUACGUGCCAGCCGCCGCCGUAACAC
rnacentral:rRNA from 1 species